GUUUCUUUUUACUGUCUGUAGAUGAUAUUUACAUGGAUACAGACUUUAUUAAGUAGUAAAGCCGACGUUUUUCGAUGAGGUCUUCUUUAUCUGGUAUCUUUAUUUCAUGUAGAUCCAGGUCUGAUCGUGACGAAUCUGCGGACGAAACAUCUGGAAACAGAAACUAUCACCAGUUAACCUGAUCACCAGUUAAACUGGAACACCGGUGGUUUGGAGUCAACAAAACGGACUAGCAGCCAGUACAGAGGGAUAUUUACGAUGACGACAACCUUCGUCUCCGUUGGCAAAGAGACACCGAGACUACACGUUAAAAAAUAAAACAAGACAUUAGAAGACCUCAUCUUAGACUCUGGGAAACUGGGACGGACGUCUCCACUGCUGUCUUGCAUUUAGGAGACUGACUGGUGAAUUGAUCAUCACUGGGGUGAGGAGUGGAGGCUGGACUGUCCAUUGUAUGGCAGGUUGAAGUGCGUUGCGUAACGGAUGAAGAGCAGACCGAUCAGUUCCAUCAGUCCCAUCAUGCUCCUCUC
ensembl:lncRNA